rnacentral:rRNA from 1 species
AUUGAACGCUGGCGGCAUGCUUUACACAUGCAAGUCGAACGGUAACAGGCCGCAAGGUGCUGACGAGUGGCGAACGGGUGAGUAAUGCAUCGGAACGUGCCCAGUCGUGGGGGAUAACGCAGCGAAAGCUGCGCUAAUACCGCAUACGAUCUAUGGAUGAAAGCGGGGGACCGUAAGGCCUCACGCGAUUGGAGCGGCCGAUGUCAGAUUAGGUAGUUGGUGGGGUAAAGGCUCACCAAGCCGACGAUCUGUAGCUGGUCUGAGAGGACGACCAGCCACACUGGGACUGAGACACGGCCCAGACUCCUACGGGAGGCAGCAGUGGGGAAUUUUGGACAAUGGGGCAACCCUGAUCCAGCAAUGCCGCGUGCAGGAAGAAGGCCUUCGGGUUGUAAACUGCUUUUGUACGGAACGAAACGGCUCUGGUUAAUACCCGGGGCUAAUGACGGUACCGUAAGAAUAAGCACCGGCUAACUACGUGCCAGCCGCCGCCGUAACAC